GAGUUUGAUUGUGGCUCAGAUUGAACGCUGGCGGCAGGCCUAACACAUGCAAGUCGAGCGGAUGACGGGAGCUUGCUCCUUGAUUCAGCGGCGGACGGGUGAGUAAUGCCUAGGAAUCUGCCUGGUAGUGGGGGACAACGUUUCGAAAGGAACGCUAAUACCGCAUACGUCCUACGGGAGAAAGCAGGGGACCUUCGGGCCUUGCGCUAUCAGAUGAGCCUAGGUCGGAUUAGCUAGUUGGUGGGGUAAUGGCUCACCAAGGCGACGAUCCGUAACUGGUCUGAGAGGAUGAUCAGUCACACUGGAACUGAGACACGGUCCAGACUCCUACGGGAGGCAGCAGUGGGGAAUAUUGGACAAUGGGCGAAAGCCUGAUCCAGCCAUGCCGCGUGUGUGAAGAAGGUCUUCGGAUUGUAAAGCACUUUAAGUUGGGAGGAAGGGCAGUAAGUUAAUACCUUGCUGUUUUGACGUUACCGACAGAAUAAGCACCGGCU
rnacentral:rRNA from 1 species